rnacentral:misc_RNA from 1 species
GGGUAGCUGAGCGCAAGUUUUUGGCGAAUCUCAAAAAAACAGUCUCAGUUCGGAUUGAAGUCUGCAACUCGACUUCAUGAAGUUGGAAUCGCUAGUAAUCGCGAAUCAGCAUGUCGCGGUGAAUACGUUCUCGGGGUUUGUACACACCGCCCGUCAAACCACGAAAGUUGGAUGCACCCAAAGCCGGUGGCCUACAACGCAAGAAGAGGGAACCGUCUAAGGUAGGGUCGAUGAUUGGGGUUAAGUCGUAACAAGGUAUCCCUACCGGAAGGUGGGGAUGGAUCACCUCCUUUCUAAGGAAACAAUUAUCAUCUUCAGUUUUGAGAGACUUAAGAAAGUUUUUCAUUGUAACUUGCUUGCAAAUUGUAUUUGCAACAUUUUAAUCUUUUUAAGAUUAAGGGCCUAUAGCUCAGUUGGUUAGAGCACACGCCUGAUAAGCGUGAGGUCGGUGGUUCGAGUCCAUUUAGGCCCACCAUAACCACAAA